AUGCCGCGCCCGGGGCCGCUGGUGGCCUCGAGGACGACGCCCAGGCUAAGGCAUACGAGGGCGCACCGCCACCAUACGACAGGACCAAGCGCAUGGUCAUCCCCGACAUGCUCAUGUUCUGAGGCUGCAGCCUGCGCACAGGUACUGCCUCCUCGGCCAGCUCUCCAAGGAGGUCAGAUGGAACUACGCUAA
rnacentral:rRNA from 1 species